GAAACUCAACUCAAACCGACCCAAGCAAAAAAGCAAAACCCAAAACCCAAUCAUCCCUUCACCUCCAGGCACAGCUAGAUCCAGAGUCUCAAACAGACUCUCUCUCUACACCUCUCUGCUUUUCUUCGCUUUGGACUUCAUUCUCAGGUAAGCUCUGCACUUGAGGUGAAAGGCCGGUCACCAGCACCUGGAGGCUAAAUUUUGCCAGCUAAGCAAGCCCGGCAGGUACGAGCUCCUGGUGUCAAAAUCUCUGCAAAGAUCCAGUCUCAUUGGCUCGGUUGAGGUCACGUGCCCAUCACAGAGCGGGUUGUAACCGGGGGACUGCGCUCUCCUGAUUGGCCAGAUGCGGGUCACGUGCUCAGUCGUGGCACCCGGGCGGGAGGCCCGCCCCACCCAAAUCACGUGGACGGGGAGUCGGGGAAAAGUGGUUCCUCGAAGGAAGACGGGGGGAGUACUGCUCGAAGAAAGGAGGAUAGAUCGUGGGCAGCCAGAAGCCACAGUGUCCGCUCUAUACAAGCAUUUGACAAUGCGCGUGUGUGCGCGGGUGUCAUUUCGUGAAUUACAACAGUAACAACGAGAGCUACCGUCCAUGGUUUACUACGCUCCCGCGCUGUUCUGAUCGCUUUGCGUCUAUUAGCUCAUCUGAUCCUUACACCAACCCUGUUAUUAACUUCAACGGGCAGGAAUUCAGGUCUAAGCGAAUUAAUUACCAUGCUACGAGGUCUCACAGUAAGAAACGUUGGUCGGAAGCCUACCGGAGUAUUUGGGGUUUUCUCUUCCCCUCCCCCGCUGGGGCGGAUUCACACAGCAGAGGCUGAGCGCUGCAGGCGGCCGAGGCCUCCGCCAAGUAAACACUCAGGAGACAGAAAAGUAACGGGAGAUCCCUGCCCGGAAGGAUCCCAGUCUGGUGGGGGAGACAGACGUAAACACCGGAUUACCGUGCAAUAUGCCCUUCCUGAGGCUCACAGAGAAUGAAGCUUGCCCUCCACGGUGCUCCACUGUCUCCUGCACAUACGACCACCCCAGCACCCUAUGACACAGAGACACUUGGCUAUCUGUGGUGGUUCCGUGUUCCCAGUGAGCACACACACUCCUGGGGUAAAGGUGGCACUCAAUUGAUCUCUGUGUGGCAAGAGCCUCAGUGCCAGUGAAUUGAAUGAAGAAAUAAAAGGACAAGUGGACAAACUACCCAGGGGCCCGGCAAAGAGCUCAGUGAAAUAGCAUGACUGGAGGGGCCCAUCCGGACCAGAGGAGCGCUGGAGCCCACCUGCACCAGCUCGGGAGAGUCUGCUGUGUAUGUCUCUUCCAAACUCCAGUUACUGACAUGGCAACGGAUGGCCUGAAAUCACCCAGGGAGAGUAUUUAUACUAUGCAAACUGGCAAACACCACAACUCAAGGGCAGUUUUCCCUCAGAGAACUAGAUGUUAACUGUUUACAAGCACCUCACUGGUCUGGCCCACAAAACAGGUAUCCACACCUUAGGGGACAGUUGAAUAAACACAAAUGGCUAGAGAUGACAUACAGCAAAUCUCAUGUCAAGAAUCACUUUACGAACUAAAUGGCACUGUGUUUCAAUGACAAAAAGCUCCUUUAUAACUGGAAGUCAAUUUAUAGGAAAUCGAAAUCUGCAGUCUGUGUCUUUUGAUCUUAAAAUACCCUCGGAGCAGGGAGUAAAUCUUGUCUGAACUGGAAAAUGUCAUGCUACAUCCAAUCCAGGACCUCAGCACAAGAUAGUUUACUGUUUUCAGUCAGAGCCAUGCGCAGAGCAACACAUGCAGACGUAAGUGGGGUACAAGUUUAAAUCUUAGCUCUGUCUCUUGCCAGCUCCAGUUGAACCUUCAGAUGAUAGCACCCCUCACUGACCUCCUACUGCAAUCUCAUGAGGGGCCCAGUUAAGCCACUCCUGAAUUCUAGAGCCACUAAGUUUUGGGAUAAUUUGUGAUACAGCUUAUACCAUAUAUACUCAAGAUAUGUUAGGUGUCACUGCCACUACUCCUGCUUCAAACCUCAGUUCCCCAGUCCCCUCUCAAGAAGCCUUCCUGACUUCUGGGCCAAGGAGCCCCUCUUCUAUGCUCCAGAUCCCCACGCACCAGCCUGCCCUAUAACGGAGCCUGACUUCCUUGCCUGCUGGCAGGAACUACUGUGUCUUUCUCAUUGUUGACUCCCCAACUCCCAGAAUAGGGCCUGGCCUGGAAAAUACUCCUGGUGUGUAUUGCUGAGUGAAUGAAUAAAGUGCCACAGGCUUGGGCCCCAUAUGAGUGGCUCUAAUGCCCUGCCUCACAUGGCUGCACAGACACCAGUUCCCUGAGACCUUAGGCUUCUUUCCUUGCCCUAAUUUCUUAUGGCCACAGUCUGCCUACUAGGAUAACCAAGAAGGGGCUCCCAGGACUUUCAUUCCCCAAAAUGGGAAAGUGGCAGGCAGGCCAGAAUGAGUUGGCUACCUAUAUACUCAUGAUGUGUUGAUUUCACUCUAUAGGUGAAAGAGUUUGAAAGCUGGUCUCCUGCUUUUACUAUUGGAUUCUGUGAGAGGAGGGCACAUGAUCAGCUCCAGGAUGAGUUGCAGUCCCUCUGGUAUUCUCAUCAUCCUGGUCUCUGAGCAGGGCUGGAGUGGGAAAUCACCCACACAGAGCAGCACAGCUUCUCCUUACGAGAAACACAUGGAGGUGGAAACCAGUCUUGCUCAAUGAGACCUCUAGGCACCCAGAGACCGUGUGACUUGAAGCCCACCCAGCUGCAGCAGGUACCUACCUGAUCUUCCACCAGCCUUCCAGGUUCUUCUGGAUGACCUCCACCACGGCCCCUCUCUCUAGAUUCAUUUCAUCCUGAUCACGAGCUGUGUACGGGUAGAUGACUGUGUACUUCUCCUCUGCAGGAACAAAGGGAUGCUGGGUUAAGUCAAGGACAAGGGAGAGUCCUGGGAUGCUGAUUGCUGAGGCUGUGAUCCAUGAGAUGCUCUUGCCCAUCAAAGGGAAAGAUUUCCUUUAGAAAUUUCUGGGGACCCCAUAGGCCUUCAUUUAGCUUUGGAUGACCCUGUGGAAGCAGGAACAGGACAUAGGACAAAGGUCAGGUCCCAAUACCUCUGAAAUCCCUCAGUGUCACACAUUUGUCCUCAUCUUCCUCAAAGCUGUGCUUCAAGGUCACCUUCCUUGACCUUUAUGCAGUAUUCAGACCCAUGGCAUCCUUGUCCCCCUUACCUAGGUUUAUUUUUUGCCCCAUACCAGGAAUUGCCUUCUAACAAAGCAUAUAAUUUACUUAUUUAUUGUGUUUUGUGUCUGUGUUCCUUGCUUGAAUAUAAACGCCACGAAGGUAGGGAUUUGUGUGUCUCAUUCAUUCCUCUGACUCUAGCACUGGGUACAGUCCUGGGAAUAUUGUGUAACUGUUUAUUAGUAAAUUAGUCAGCGUUUAGGAAAUGAAGGGCCUAGUGGGAGCUGUCUUGCUCAUACUAGAGGGAGUUAACUCAUCUGUCCCUCCUCCACAGUUCUUGUUGGUAGAGGGGUCAGGGAUGAGCUGGAUUUUUGGCAGCAGAUAGUUUCAGGCUGAAAUCAUUAUCAAGGAGGUGAGAGCUAGUAAUUUUCUUUCUUUCUUUCUUUCUUUCUUUCUUUCUUUCUUUCUUUCUUUCUUUCUUUCUUUCUUUCUUUCUCUUUCUUUCUUCUUUCUUUCUCUCUCUCUCUUCCUUCCUUUUUUUGUUUUUUUGAAGGUUAAACUUUUAUUCAGCAAGGCUCAAACAAUUACAUGCUAAUUUCCAGCUAGGUUGCACCAAAAAUGACUUAAAAAUUUCCUUUUGGGGGGAUCCCUGGGUGGCUCAGCAGUUUAGUUAAUGCCUGCCUUCGGCCCACGGUGUAAUCCUGGAGUUCUGGGAUUGAG